ACCCCACCCUAGGCAUCUCUUUCUCUCUCCACAAAAAGAAAGUCUUGGAGUGGGCUUUUUUCUUUCUCUUCAUGUUUGCCCUUUUCCACAUGUAGAGAAGUAACUAUUCUGAUUCCUGUAAUAUGCCCUUGUUUAUAGUGCAGUGGUUCUGUAUUAGGGUGUGCAGUAGAAUCACCUGGAAGGCCUGUGAAAUGGAACGUCUAGGCCCCGCCCCUGGGGAUUUCUGAUUGGUGGGUCUGGGCCCAAUAAGCCUGUGUUUCCAAGUUCCCAGGUGGUGCCAAUGCUGCGCCGCCAAGUCUCAGGCUGGGAACCACCGCUUUAGGUCCACAGUCUCCUCCCUAGAAGCCUCAGGAAACAAUAAAUUCAAAAUAAAUUAGCCUUCAAAUCAGAUGGAAAGAUACAUUCAUCCUUUAAGUCCUAUUGUGAGGAGGUGAAUUACAAAUGGAAACUUCAGGGCAGAGGAUGUGUGUUUCAUCACUUUUCUAGCUUAUCAGUGUCACAACAACCUCAUGGAAGAGGCAGUAGGGGGAUGCUGCUGCAGAUGGUGCGUGAGAGAGGAAGAAGUUCCUUCAUUCAGAGGCAUCCACUCAACUGAUUCUGCUGCUGCUGCUGCUGCUAAGUCACUUCAGUUGUGUCCAACUCUGUGCGACCCCAUAGACGGCAGCCCACCAGGCUCCCCUGUCCCUGGGAUUCUCCAGGCAAGAACACAGGAGUGGGUUGCCAUUCCUUCUCCAAUGCAUGAAAGUGAAAAGUGAAAGUGAAGUCACUCAGUCAUGUCCGACUUUUAGUGACCCCAUGGACUGCAGCCCAUCAGGCUCCUCCAUCCAUGGAAUUUUCCAGGCAAGAGUACUGGAGUGGGUUCCCAUUGCCUUCUCCAUUUUAGAUUCUAUAUAUAAGUGAAAACAGAUUUUUAUCUUCCUCUGUCUGAUUUUUUUCACUAACUAUAGUAACCUCCAGGUCUAUAUGUGUUGCAAAUAACAAGAUUUCAUUCUUUUAUAUAGCUGCAUAAUUUUCCAGUGUGUGUACAUCUAUCUCAUAUCUUUUUUAUCCAUCUGUUUGUUGAUGAACACUUAGGUUGCUUCUGUUAUCUCGGCUAUUGUAAAUAUGCUGCAAUAAAAAUUAAAACUAACUUUUCAAAUUAGUGUUUUCAUUUUCUUUAGAUGUAUGCCCAGGAGUAGAAUUGCUGGAUCACAUGGUAGUUCUAUUUUUAGUUUUUCUGAGGAACCUGCCUACUGUUCUCCAUAGCAGCUGCACCAAUUUACCUAUUUACAUUCCUAUCGAAGUGUACUAGGAGCCCUGGUCUUCAUAUCUCUCUGAUACUUGUUACUUCUUGUCUUUAGGACUACCGUCAUCCUAACAACUGUGAGGUGGUAUCUCACACUGGUUUUGAUGUGCAUUUUCCUGAUGAUUAGUGGUGGGGAGCAUCUUUUCAUGUGCCGGCUGGCCAUCUACAUGUCUUUUUGGAAAAACGACUCUCUCUUCUUCAAUUCUGAAUGAUAACUUUGCUGGGUCAUAUCAUUGGUUGUAGUUUUUGUUUUUGUUUUUUUUUCCCUCCCCCCUCUUUAAGAACU
ensembl:lncRNA